GCAAAGACUAUAGUCUCUGUUGUUUUUCACCCCGAAAUACCAAAGAAUCGCCUCAAACAUUAGCAAAGACUCUGAAAAAUGAAGCUCUCACACCGCCGUUCAGUUUCUCAUGAACAAAGUCUACGGAAAAUUCCGAGUAAUCUCAAAACAGUUAAUUGCGAAUGUGCAAUUUGGUAUUUGAUCAUUCCAGCGUCUCGUGCGUAGAUCCUCCUUCCCCGAAGCAUCGGCAGUAUGGCCGCAACAGCCGAAGCAACUUCGUCAUCGGGAGCGACAUCGACGUUAGUGCGUACAUCCUUUAGGAAGAGAUAGAAGAAGCUAGCGACGAGAGAGAGACAUAUUUUUGGGUGAGGAUUAACAGCGGAUUAGUACGCGGUUACUACAGCGCCAUAUUUUUGGUUGACAAUGAGUCCAGGGGUCAGUUUCGAUUGAGCAGUGACUCGGGAAGGAGUGUUCCGUUUGAUCUACAUAUUUUUAAAAAGUGCUCGACAAUCGGUAGUUAGUGAAAGACUUUUAUCAUUGGAAAUUUUGUGAAUUGCAUGGUUCGGAGAUUUUUCCACAAGCACUGAUUCAUACAAGACAGACGUUGAAGUUGCCUAGUUCUUCGCGAUACAGUUCAACUUUCAACUGCUAUCCCUACGUUGUGCUGAAGAAUUCGUAUAAGGCUUUCAAUCAAUCAUCACGGUGCCUAGUGCAUCGCAGUACUCAUUAAACUCUCAACCACGAAGGGCAGGAGUUACAUGGCAUCGCACAAUUCGUUUGCAGGUACUCGGAUAUGCUGUCGCCGCAGUUAUGACCCCCUGGACUUCCCCUGUUCAUC